rnacentral:lncRNA from 1 species
UCCUAGACACAAGCAUCCUUGGACACUGGGGAUUUACAGGAUCGGCGGCUUCUGGGGAAGCUCAUAGGAGCCCACAUCAGUGGGCUGUUACCUGGGACCAGAGCUUCUCCUCAUGGCUGAAUCAGGUCCCGUGUUUUGCUAUGGACGUAGUCGUCUGUUACCUCGGAUGUGUGUGAACUAUUUGACCUGCUCUGGAUGCUGCUCACACCACAAUUCAUGUUGCCGUCACUCCCUCCAGGAGACAAGAUGCAAAGGAAUCGGUUUCACCGUGGGACACAGCCCAGGGCUCAGAGCUCCAUUGCCAUGGCAGAUAAAAAUCCAGAGAGGAAACAUCGGGGCUGUACCCGUGGACUCAAGGACUGAGCUCUGCCCUGCGGUGGGCACGCAGAUGGACAUAGCCUCGACGGGUGGACGUGGUUGUCGGCGCGUGACAUGGUACGUAUGCGACUUUUCCGUGAUUUUCAAGUAUUGCAGAAUAUAGUUCUUUUGGACUUCUGUUCCAACCGUUUAAAAAAUGUAUAAUUAUUCUUAGCUUAUGUACAAAAACAGACAGUUGGCAAGAUCUGAUCUAUAGGUCAAUGAUGGCCAUUAUCAAGUAUAGGUGACCUCACUUUGUCAGGCAAACAGAACCGAUACGAAAUCUAUCUAAUCUGCCUAGCUAUGUAGCUGUCUGUCUGUCUGCCUGCCUAUCAGUUGAUUGAUUUAUCAUUCCAGCUCUCGGUCUAUAUAUAUGUCUCUUUUUCUUUUUUUUCUUUUCUUUCUUUUUUUUUUUUUGCCGGCGGCUACGGCUCCAAUUAGAGCUGGGAACCUCCAUAUGCCACGGAACCUCCAUGUGCCACGAGUGUGGCCCUAAAAAGACAAAAAAAAAAAAAAAAAUCCAUGCACCCCUGUGUUCAUUGCAGCACUAUUCACAAUAGCCUGGGAACCUCCAUAUGCCAUGGGUGUGGCCCUAAAAAGACAAAAAAAAGGAAAAGAAAUGGAUGAUGGAGACAUGAUGAUGAAUAGAUGAUAAGUAGAUAGAUAGAGACAGAUGAUAUGCAGAUAAUGAAUAGAAUGACAGGUAGAUGAUAGACAAUAGAUGCUCACUUACUGGGUGGGCAGACAUGGCAGCAGAUGGAUAGCAGGCUCUGCUUCUGUAUCUCUCCGUCUCCUCUCCUUUCUCUUCCUCGGGAGAGCCCGGACAGCACCUGGCCCAGAGAACACGAGCCCCAGCAGAACCCGAGCCCCGCUCCCAUGUGGCUCAGGGCAGAGUUCAUUCCCAGGCGUGGUCCCCACGCUAGGACUGAACUCUUUCAGUAACUGCUGGCCCAGCGCCCAACCUCGGGGGCCACGUCUAGACAGGUCUGGUUUCCGGCGUCUGAGCCAAGCACGUGCUCGGGUGUUCUGGCGGCCCCCACCCUGGCCUGCGCAACGCUCUAAAUACCUGUGGUCUGUGAACCGGGAGUCAAGAUAAGUAGGAUGUUAUGGAAACGUCUAAGCUUCCGAUGCUGCAUGGGGUUUUCAGGCUGUGCCGUCGGGUCUCAGGUGGCGAAGAGUAUUGGGAGGGGUCAGCGCCUCUGGGCAACUCCUGUCCAUUCUUGUUAAGUUCUGUUUCACACCCCCGCUGAGAUGGGUUUGCAUCCCCUCAGGUCAUGCUGCCCCACAGGCAUCAUUUGUAGGGACCUGGGAAGCGUCGUCACCAGGCAGGGGUCCUGGCAGAUCCCGGCAGCCUCUGGGGGCCUGGCUCUGUCUGCAGUGUCAGGAGGCUGGGAAGUUGCUCCAAGCCAUUGUGGGAACCUCGGUGCCUCCAUCAAGCAGCAUGGCCAUCUGUGUUCCUCCGUGGCCAUGGCGUGGCUUCGUUUUUUUCGCCCAGCAAUUCGCGGGACGGACACACCCCUCAGGAAUCUGGUCCCUCCCUCUUCCCCGUGGGUAAUUCAGAAACGAGGAGUUCCCAUCAUGGUCCAGUGGUUACAAACCCGACCAGUAUCCAUGAGGACAUCGGUUCGAUCCCUGGCCCCUCUCAGAGGAAGAAGGAUCUGGCGUUGCUAUGGCUGUCGUGUACACCUGCAGCUGCAGCUCCAAUUCGACCCCAAGCCCGGGAACGUCUGUAUGCCGCAGGUGUAGCCCCAAAAAAGCAAACUAAAUUAACAAAUGAAAAAGGAUCCUUGUCGUUGACUUAGCAUUCAGGAAAAAGAAGGUUAUCUGUGUGCCUGUUUAGAGCAAUACCUCCAAGCCUUUCAGGAUACCCCAGAGGGACGUUUCUUUCCCCAGAGUCAGCCCCUCUCCCUGGCUCCCAUCCACCAGCCAUCGCGUCUCUUCUUCUAUUUCCAAACACUCAUAUAUGCCAGGUGGGCCAAGUGGGUGGACACGCCUGGGUACCCCUCUCUGUACAUUCCUCAGGCUCUGACUUCACUCCGCAGCCCUUUCCUAAGGAAAGGCUGGCCUCUCCAAAAAUCACACAGGCGCGAGGACUCAUCCCCGUUACCGUUUGGAAAACGGUCUGUGGGUGUUGGGACGUGCUCUGCCGGUGCUCAGCUCGCAAAAAUCCCACCGUCUGUUCCAGGAUCCUGUCCUGGACUCGCCCCGCUGGCGGAGGUGCCUUCUCUGAGUCUCCCGGCUACGGGGCCAGCGGCCGCCCCCAGUGAAAUGAACUGAUGUCUGUGGACUCGGGCCAGGCCAGUGAGGCACGAGGAAGGCUGCAACUAUUUGCAGAGAACGUGCCCUGUGCAGCUCCCUAAAUAGCUGGGGUUGGGAAGAGCCGGAAGCUGGGGUCCGUGAUGGCCAGCAUGAGGCGUCAAGGAGGUUGCUGUCCCCAGGCGUCCCUGGUGGUCCCAGAAUUCUUCACAAAGACAGUGAUGCCUGGGGCCAGGUUCAGCUGGUGGCGGGACCCCGCAGGGAGGGGUCCACGUGGGAGACAUCUCCUUGCGACUCACGCCCCCAGGUGUGUCUGGUCGCAGCUGGAUCAUGACACGCCAACGUGGAAGUCCUUGACGGUGAGAACCUGGAGCCAUCGUCGCCGGGUGAGACGGAAGGGACACCGCCAUGCUUUGCGCGCAGCAGUUUCAAGGCGCAGAAGGCAAACGGGAUGCCCACGUGAAACUAUGCUGCAGCAGUGCCCGCAAAUGUGCCCGGGCUCGCACAGGAUUCCGACGUGGCAAGUCCCAGGUGCGGCUGGAGCCCGUCCAUUUGUGCCUGGCGCCCAGGUGAUCCUGCUGGUGGUGGGAGCGCCUCUAGAGAUGUGUUCUAGUGGCCUGGCGUCAUAGCCACUAGCCAUCCAUGGCUAACUAAAUGGCAUAAAAUAAAGGCAAAUCUAAAACCUUACUUCUUUGGUCCUAUGAGCUACAUUUCAAGUGCCAGGCAGCUGCCAUAUGGAUAGUACAGCAGAGAACAUUCUUCUGUCAUUGCAGAAAGUUCUACCAAACUGUGCUAGGGUAGGGCGUUCCUGCUAUGGCUCAGGGGGUUAGGAAACUGACUAGUACCCAUGAGGAUGUGGGUUCAAUCCCUGGCCUCACUCAGUGGGUCAGGGAUCUAGCAUUGUCAUAAGCUAGACAUGUGUUGGUCGCAGACACUUCUCAGAGUCAGCAUUGCUGUGGCUGUGAAGUAGACCAGCAGCUGCAGCUCCGAUUCCACCCUUAGCCUGGGAACUUCCAUUUGCCGCAGGUGCAGCCCCUAAAAAAGCAAAACAAACAAACAAAAAAAAAACUGUGUUCGUCUAGAGGCUGGCUGUCACGUAGGAACGUCUAGUUACCACGGGGUUAAUAGGUUUUAAUGUUUGGAGUGUUUUUUAUCAUAAGAUGCUAAGGGGCGUGGUACCUCCAUAAGAUUCUGAACACUGGUGUAAUCCCUUUUAUAAUCAGGGCACACAUACACCCUCCCUCAGAAUGCGAGGCUCCCUCGAUGAUCAAAAAGCCAGGCUUUCAUUUCCCUAUGAAAGCCUGAAACAUCCCCCCAGUUGCCAUAUUUCCGGAUAGGUUCGUGUGUGCGCACUCGCAGGCUCUAAUACAGGAGAGCUGUACACAUCGACAGCUGCCGGGAUACCCCGUCUGCCUCCUCUCAUGUUUUCUUAGCCUUAUUUUCCAUUCUCUAGAGGAGCCAGAGACAUGCAGAAUGAGGUUUCUCCUGAGCAGGAAGCGUGCCCGUGAGCAACCAGCUGAGAAGUCGACCCAUCACGUGUGAAAAUGAGAAAGUCCCGUCGAGGCCAGACCCCGCUGUCCUUGGAAAGGUGCGCAAUUGAUCCAGUUCAGACGUCGGGGGCUGUCUUGGUGUUGAGUUGAUUUCUUCCAAGGGGUGAGGGAGCGAUCCAGGUUCCCUGCCCAGCGGGUGCUCUGCCUCCCUAGUUCCGGAGGCUGGACUUUCAAGACCUGCUGAGAGCCAUCUUCCUGGUUCAUCAAUGGACGUUCUCUCCAUCAGGACAGAGACAAGACAGUUCCUUCUUACCCGUGAGAGAUACAUGUAUUGUCCAUGACUCCGCAGGAAAUUGAUUUCCCCAACCCGAUGCAGAGAUGGGGAAGGGGGGAGCCAAAAGAAGGGUUUGCUGUCCAUCUUUGGCGCCAGAGGAGAAGUCAGCCCCCAGAAGCUAAGCACUGAGAAGUCCAGUCUUCCACAUCCAGGGGUUUCCAGAUUCCCACUCGUGUAAGAAAUGCAGCGUGAUGUCCCAGUUUUCGUGCUUUUCUUGAGAUGUGGUCCCCUUGGAGGAGCUUCCCCCGCCAGGAUGGAAUUUCAGAGCUUUCGGCUCGAGAAGAAGGGAAAUGCCCCGAACAGCCACCCCCCAGGCCCCUUGUGGCCGCUGAGAAGUUGGGGAGGAUGCAGCCAUAAAGGAGGAUGUGAAAAGUAGGCGCGAUCGCAAGGCACGAAUCUCGGAAUCUUCGUGUUUCAUCGGGAAGGCAGAGGAGGAAGGAAUCUGCGAGGUGCAGCCGCCUCUUCUGACCUCAGGAUGGACGGAGAGGGCGUGAAGGACCCGUCAGUGACCAGCUGUUGCACAGAGAGCCCAGGGGAAGGGGGUGCCCUGGCGGGCACAUGGGAACCAAUGCUGCGGCUCACGAGAAGUUGGAGGAACAAACUGCUUUGUCCCAGGAGAAGAGGAGCAGGAUGGAACAGAUGCCCGCUGUAAUCGUGGGCGGAACCGGAGGGACGGACGCAACGCUUGGCGCUUCCGAUUCUGACAGUUGCUGACCUCGCGGGAGAUGGAUGCAGGAGGGUCCAGAUGUUCCGAUGAGGAAACGGAGGCCACUAAGUGUUGUGUAACGUCCCAAGAGGCCCCAGCUCUGAAGCGGUGGAGUCAGAAUGGGUUGCUUAACAGCCACCCCCACCCUGGGCUCGGAAGACGUCCACACCCAGGUAUGAAAAUGCCCUGUGGGAGUGUCUGUUGCUGCUCAGUGGGUUAAGAACCCAACAUAGCGUCCGUCCAAGGGAUGCGGGUUUGAUCCCUGGCCUCGCUCGGCGAGUUAAGGAUCUGGUGUUGCCACAGGCUGUGGUGUAGGUCACAGGUGCGGCUCGGAGCCUAUGUUUCGGUGGCUGUGGUGUAGACUGGCAGCUGCAGCACUGAUUCGACCCCUAGCUCAGGAACUUCCAUGUGCUGCGGGGGCGGCCCUGAAAAGAAAAUAAAAAAGAAAGAAAGCAAAUGCCCUGUGGAAUGACCACAUGAUAGUGACACAGUCUCGUGGCCUUUCUCUUGGGAACAGGCACACCUCCUUCCGAGCCACCUAAGUUCCUGCCUCUUGACUUUCUAGACACCCUUCACUGUUUAAAGGGGGGAGAACAAUAAGAAGACAAAGCAAAUGCUCCUUUUUUGGGUCCUUUUUAAAACAUUUAUUGACAUAGAGCUGAUAUAUCAGCUUGUGAUCAUCUCUGCGAUACAACAAACUCACGAGCUCCUGUUAUUUGUAGACUUUUUGAUGAUGGCCAUUCUGACUGGUGCAAGGUGGUCCCUCAGUGUAACUUUGAUUCGCAUUUCUCUAAUAAUAAGCGAUGGGGAGCAUCCUUUCAUAUGCUUGUUCUUUGGAGAAACGUCUGUUCAGGUCUUCUGCCCAUCUUUUGAUUGGGUUGUUUGGCUUUUUUGAUAUCAAGCUUCACGGGUUGUUUGUGCCUUUUGGAGAUUAGUCCCUUGUGUGUCACUUCAUUUGCAAAUGUUUUCAGCCAUUUCGUGAGUGGCCUUUUUGUUUCGUUUGAUUUCCUUGGCUGUGCAAAUGUGUUUAAGUUUAUGUAGGUCCCAUGUGUUUCUGUUUUUAUUUUCAUUACUCUAAGCAGUGGAUCCAAAAAGAAAUUGCUGCAGAUUAUGUCAAAGAAUGUUCUGCCUCUGUUCUCCUCCAGGAGUUUAAUCAUAUCUGGUCUUACAUUUAGGUCUUUAAUCCAUUUUGAGUUUAUUUUCCUGUAUGAUAUUAGAGAAAGCUGGGAGUUCCUGUCGGGGUUCAGUGGAACUGAAUCCAACUAGGAACCGUGAGGUUGCAGAUUCAAUCCCUGGCCUCGCUCAGUGGGUUAAGGAUCUGGUGUGGCCGUGAGCUGUGGUGUAGGUCGCAGACAUGGCUUGGAUCUGGCAUUGCUGUGACUCUGGCAUAGGAGGGCAGCUAUACCUCCAAUUAGACCCAUAGCCUGGGAACCUCCAUGUGCUGCGGUGCGGUCCUAAAAAGACGGAAAGACAGAGAAUGCUAUCAUUUCAUUCUUUUGCAUGGAGCUGUCCAGUUUUCCCAGCACCACUUAUUGAAGAGCCUGUCUUUUCUCCAUUGUAUAUUCUUGCCUCCUUUGUCAUAAAUUAAUUGUCCGUAGGUGUGCGGGUUUAUCCUGUUCCAUUAAUCCACAUUUCUGAUUUGCGUCAGUGCCAUACUGUUUUGAUGACUCUAGUUCUGUGAUAUAAUCUGAUGUCAGGGAGCCUGAUUCCCCCGGUUCUGUUUCUUUUUCAGGAUGGCUUUGGCUGUUUGGGCUCUUAUGUGUUUCCAUAUAAAUUUAAAAAUAUUUUGUUCUAGUUCUGUUAAAAAAUGUCAAGGCAAUCUACAGUCUCAAUUCAUUAGUUUCUUAGAUCCGAGGCACAGGUCCAUAAAUGCCUAACAACAGAGACAGACCAGCAAAAUGUUCAUGCAGUUUAGAUUCUGAGAACUUGACUUGUGUUUUUAUUCUAGGUUUUGAUUCAUAUUUUUUCAAAAAAUCAGAGUUUAGAAUUUGUGACAAGUUGGCAGAGUUCUGUUGUGGCUCAGUGUGUUACGAAUCUGACUAGUAUCCCUGAGGACACAGGUUCAAUCCCUGGCCUUGCUCAGUGGGUCAAGGAUCCUGCAUUGCCAUGAUCUGUGGUGUAGGUCACAGAUGCUGUCUGGAUCUGGCAUUGCUGUGGUUAGUAUAGGCUGGCAGCUGCAGUUCUGAUUCAGCCUAGGAACGUCCAUGUGCUGAGGGUGCAGCCCUAGGGGGAAAAAAAAAAAGAAUUUGGGACAGGUUGGGAUGGGUCAUGAAGGAAAAGACCCCACAAUCUAUAUCCAGCACACAGCAGGGUUUCCAUGCAGAAGACAGUGUUGUCAGCACAGAGAUUCAGUUAAAAAAUGGAGGUUUUGAGAAACUCUCUCUCUGCUCACUCAGGAGUGUUAUCCUGAGACAGAUCCCAAAGAUGAAAAUAAAGCAGCUCAUUCUGAGCAACAAAGGCCACGUGAAAAUGAAAACGAGUUCCCUGGUGGCUCAGCUGGUUAAGAACCCAGUGUUGUCACUGCUGUGGCUCGAGUUCGAUCCCUGGCCCAGGAACUUCUGCAUGCCAUAGGUGUGGCCAAAAGGAAAAAA